GGGUGCGUCGCUCGUUGGAAGGGCGGCGGCCAUGAGGGCCGCUCGGGAGGUUCGAGCCCUCCCGCACCCGCCA
rnacentral:tRNA from 1 species